rnacentral:rRNA from 1 species
GUUGCAGUUAAAAGCUCGUAGUUGAACCUUGGGUCUGGCUGCUCGGUCCGCCUAACCGCGUGCACUGAUGCGGCCGGAUCUUUCCUUCUGGCUAACCUCAUGCCCUUCACUGGGUGUGCUGGGGAUCCAGGACUUUUACUUUGAAAAAAUUAGAGUGUUCAAAGCAGGCCUUUGCUCGAAUACAUUAGCAUGGAAUAAUAGAAUAGGACGGCGGUUCUAUUUUGUUGGCUUCUAGAGCCACCGUAAUGAUUAAUAGGGAUAGUCGGGGGCAUCAGUAUUCAAUUGUCAGAGGUGAAAUUCUUGGAUUUAUUGAAGACUAACUACUGCGAAAGCAUUUGCCAAGGAUGUUUUCAUUAAUCAGUGAACGAAAGUUAGGGGAUCGAAGACGAUCAGAUACCGUCGUAGUCUUAACCAUAAACUAUGCCGACUAGGGAUCGGGCGGUGUUCAACUUAUGACCCGCUCGGCACCUUACGAGAAAUCAAAGUUUUUGGGUUCUGGGGGGAGUAUGGUCGCAAGGCUGAAACUUAAAGGAAUUGACGGAAGGGCACCACCAGAUGUGGAGCCUGCGGCUUAAUUUGACUCAACACGGGAAAUCUCACCAGGUCCAGACACAUUAAGGAUUGACAGAUUGAGAGCUCUUUCUUGAUUAUGUGGGGUGGUGGUGCAUGGCCGUUCUUAGUUGGUGGAGUGAUUUGUCUGCUUAAUUGCGAUAACGAACGAGACCUUAACCUGCUAAAUAGCCAGGCUAUCUUUUGAUGGUCGCCGGCUUCUUAGAGGGACUAUCGGCUCAAGCCGAUGGAGUUUGAGCAUAACAGUCUGUGAUGCCCUUAGAUGUCUGGGCGCACGCGCGCUACACUGAC